rnacentral:lncRNA from 10 species
AUCACUAGUAGAGGAGGGAAAGUUCUUGGACUUGCCCAGCUCUGCCUCUUACUGACUUUGCACUUUGGGAAAAAUUACUUAACUCUUGGGCCUUCAGUUUCCCCAUCUGUAAAACAGCUUUCUAAAAUAUAGUUUUCAGGAUUCUAUGGAACAUUAUGUGUGUAAUUGCCAGUCACUUAGUGGGGACUCCAUACAAGUAAGUGCCCUCCCGUAAAACCCAUGCGUCUUGACGUCUUGACCUUGCAGCCCAGUCUGCCUGCUGCUGCCUUUCCCAGACUUUUGCCAGGUGGGCCCCUUCUCCCUGCAGAGCUCUCAGCGCGUGGGCUAGUGGUUUGGGAGCUCUGCGUGUCCAAGCUCCCCUUGCUAAGGGUCCGAUCUCUCCUAGAUCACAGACAACCUGACGAAGAAGGAGAUUCAGAUAGAGAAGAUCCAUUUGGACACAUCCUCCUUCGUGGAGGAGCUGCCUGGAGAGAAGGACCUUGCCCACGUGGUAGAGAUCUAUGACUUUGAACCAGCGCUCAAGACGGAGGACCUGCUGGCAACGUUUUCUGAGUUCCAAGAGAAGGGGUUCAGGAUUCAGUGGGUGGAUGAUACUCACGCACUCGGCAUCUUUCCCUGCCUGGCCUCAG